UGGGGAAUUUUGGACAAUGGGCGCAAGCCUGAUCCAGCAAUGCCGCGUGAGUGACGAAGGCCUUAGGGUUGUAAAGCUCUUUUGGCGGGGAAGAUAAUGACGGUACCCGCAGAAUAAGCUCCGGCUAACUUCGUGCCAGCAGCCGCGGUAAUACGAAGGGAGCUAGCGUUGUUCGGAAUCACUGGGCGUAAAGCGCACGUAGGUGGGCAGUUAAGUCAGGGGUGAAAGCCCGAGGCUCAACCUCGGAAUUGCCUCUGAUACUGGCUGUCUAGAGUUCGAGAGAGGUGAGUGGAAUUCCUAGUGUAGAGGUGAAAUUCGUAGAUAUUAGGAAGAACACCGGUGGCGAAGGCGGCUCACUGGCUCGAUACUGACACUGAGGUGCGAAAGUGUGGGGAGCAAACAGGAUUAGAUACCCUCGUAGUCCCUGAGCGGGCUGGCAAGGCGCAU
rnacentral:rRNA from 1 species